rnacentral:lncRNA from 1 species
CCACUGCAGUUCAGCCUUCUCCUUCCCAAGGGCCACAGACAGUUCUUCCAUGGUCCCCCUCAAGGAGUAGAGCUCGUCAGAGUCUUGAACCGAAAUGACCUGGGCUCUCUCGGACAACUGCUUCUGAAGGCGAGCAACCUCAUCGGUUGCCGUCUUAAGCCUCCUUCGGUAGUCAUCUACUUGCCCACACCAGCCGACUUGGUAGGCAUUGUAAUUCGCCUUAGCAUCCUGUAGCUACUUUUGGAGGUCGGAGAAUUUCUUUGACCAGUUUCGAUUGUGGUCGGCCUGAGUUGUAAGCCAGGAUGAGCUCCCUUCCAAUUGGCCGAUCUUCUCCCGUGCGACCACCAGCUCGACCUCGAGGGAGCUGAUCUUGGAAGCCUGAGUCCAAGAUCGGUCGCUGGCGCAUUUCUGGAGUUCCUCGUGCUCCUUCACGAAGUCGGCCUUCUUCCGGGUGUAGUCCAUGAAGCUCUUUUUGUGGAGGUUCUGAAGGUGAGUAACCUCCAUA